AUUGAACGCUGGCGGCAGGCCUAACACAUGCAAGUCGAGCGGAUGAGUGGAGCUUGCUCCAUGAUUCAGCGGCGGACGGGUGAGUAAUGCCUAGGAAUCUGCCUGGUAGUGGGGGACAACGUUUCGAAAGGAACGCUAAUACCGAUACGUCCUACGGGAGAAAGCAGGGGACCUUCGGGCCUUGCGCUAUCAGAUGAGCCUAGGUCGGAUUAGCUAGUAGGUGAGGUAAUGGCUCACCUAGGCGACGAUCCGUAACUGGUCUGAGAGGAUGAUCAGUCACACUGGAACUGAGACACGGUCCAGACUCCUACGGGAGGCAGCAGUGGGGAAUAUUGGACAAUGGGCGAAAGCCUGAUCCAGCCAUGCCGCGUGUGUGAAGAAGGUCUUCGGAUUGUAAAGCACUUUAAGUUGGGAGGAAGGGCAGUAAGUUAAUACCUUGCUGUUUUGACGUUACCAACAGAAUAAGCACCGGCUAACUUCGUGCCAGCCGCCGCCGUAAAAC
rnacentral:rRNA from 1 species